UACGUAGGGUGCAAGCGUUGUCCGGAAUUAUUGGGCGUAAAGAGCUCGUAGGCGGUCUGUCGCGUCUGGUGUGAAAACUCGGGGCUUAACCCCGGGCCUGCAUCGGGUACGGGCAGACUAGAGUGCGGUAGGGGAGACUGGAAUUCCUGGUGUAGCGGUGAAAUGCGCAGAUAUCAGGAGGAACACCGGUGGCGAAGGCGGGUCUCUGGGCCGAUACUGACGCUGAGGAGCGAAAGCGUGGGGAGCAAACAGG
rnacentral:rRNA from 1 species